rnacentral:rRNA from 1 species
GACGAACGCUGGCGGCGUGCUUAACACAUGCAAGUCGAACGGGGCGAAGUGAUAGCUUGCUAUUAUGGAGCCUAGUGGCAAACGGGUGAGUAACGCGUAGGCAACCUGCCCUUCAGAUGGGGACAACACCUCGAAAGGGGUGCUAAUACCGAAUGACGUUUCCUAGUCGCAUGACUGGGAAACCAAAGGCCGGGCAACCGGUCACUGAAGGAUGGGCCUGCGUCUGAUUAGCUAGUUGGUGGGGUAACGGCCACCUAGGCGACGAUCAGUAGCCGGUCUGAGAGGAUGAACGGCCACAUUGGGACUGAGACACGGCCCAAACUCCUACGGGAGGCAGCAGUGGGGAAUCUUCCGCAAU